UAACGAAUUUGAGCAAUAUCAAAGACAAUCAACAGCGGUGAUAAUGCCAGAGCCUUUCGGAUGGCUACAAGUUCGGUAGGCAAUAUUGUGGGAGCUUGUUUGGACUAUAGGGAGAGGCGAAGUAGAAGAAAAGAUGAGAAAGAAGAGGUAGAUCCAAUAGAAGAGAUCAAAGUUGUUAAUUAAGCAGGAUAUGCUGACGUGCUCAAUGGUGUACUUGA
rnacentral:lncRNA from 1 species